rnacentral:rRNA from 1 species
UACAGAGACUGCAAGCGUUAUUCGGAUUCACUGGGCGUUAAAGGGUGCGCAGGCGGCCAAGUGUGUUAGGCGUGAAAGCCCGGGGCUUAACCCCGGAAUUGCACCUAAAACUACAUGGCUAGAGCAUUGGAGAGGGUAGCGGAAUUCACGGUGUAGCAGUGAAAUGCGUAGAUAUCGUGAGGAACACCUGCGGCGAAGGCGGGUUGCUGGGCUGACACUGACGCUGAUGCGCGAAAGCCAGGGGAGCGAACGGG